AGCGAGGCCAGCUGCGCAUGUGAGCGCUCGUCUGUUCGGUGACCUGUCUUUUUUUGGAUGUAGCCUGUUUUCUUGGGAUCCCGGCGUAUUCGGCGCUCCUUCUGCACUUCGGCACGGCACUACUACGCCACUGGACUAUGGCAAGUGUGCUACGUACUAUUCUUUGGUCGAGAGCACAAGUGGUACACGUUGCGGCUGCAUGGUCGCGGAAAUGUGUCACACCACUCGUCCUGCAUGUGUGUCUUCUACGGCCUCUCGUGCUUCAGUGUUUUUGGGUAGAGACACUGCAAGUGGAUAAUUCCCCUUGCUUUAUCACGCUUCUUUUAACCUUUCUUGUCAGUGUGGCAUGCGCCGUUAUGAAGUGAAAUCAAUAAAAUGGCUUUGUGUGUA